AGUGAACGCUGGCGGUAGGCCUAACACAUGCAAGUCGAACGGCAGCACAGGAGAGCUUGCUCUCUGGGUGGCGAGUGGCGGACGGGUGAGGAAUACAUCGGAAUCUACUUUUUCGUGGGGGAUAACGUAGGGAAACUUACGCUAAUACCGCAUACGACCUACGGGUGAAAGCAGGGGAUCUUCGGACCUUGCGCGAUUGAAUGAGCCGAUGUCGGAUUAGCUAGUUGGCGGGGUAAAGGCCCACCAAGGCGACGAUCCGUAGCUGGUCUGAGAGGAUGAUCAGCCACACUGGAACGGAGACACGGUCCAGACUCCUACGGGAGGCAGCAGUGGGGAAUAUUGGACAAUGGGCGCAAGCCUGAUCCAGCCAUACCGCGUGGGUGAAGAAGGCCUUCGGGUUGUAAAGCCCUUUUGUUGGGAAAGAAAAGCAGUCGGUUAAUACCCGAUUGUUCUGACGGUACCCAAAGAAUAAGCACCGGCUAACUUCGUGCCAGCCGCCGCCGUAAAAC
rnacentral:rRNA from 1 species